rnacentral:rRNA from 1 species
UACGAAGGGGGCUAGCGUUGCUCGGAUUGACUGGGCGUAAAGGGCGCGUAGGCGGUUCGUACAGUCAGACGUGAAAUUCCUGGGCUCAACCUGGGGGCUGCGUUUGAUACGUGUGGACUUGAGUGCGGAAGAGGGUCGUGGAAUUCCCAGUGUAGAGGUGAAAUUCGUAGAUAUUGGGAAGAACACCGGUGGCGAAGGCGGCGACCUGGUCCGACACUGACGCUGAGGCGCGAAAGCGUGGGGAGCAAACAGG